GAGUUGAUCGUGGCUCAGAUUGAACGCUGGCGGCAUGCCUUACACAUGCAAGUCGAACGGCAGCACGGGAGCUUGCUCCUGGUGGGCGAGUGGCGAACGGGUGAGUAAUGCAUCGGAACGUAUCCUGGAGUGGGGGAUAACGUAGCGAAAGUUACGCUAAUACCGCAUAUUCUGUGAGCAGGAAAGCGGGGGGACCUUCGGGCCUCGGCGCUCUUGGAGCGGCCGAUGUCGGAUUAGCUAGUUGGUGAGUAAAGGCUCACCAAGGCGACGAUCCGUAGCAGGUCUGAGAGGAUGAUCUGCCACACUGGAACUCGAGACACGGUCCAGACUCCUACGGGAGGCAGCAGUGGGGAAUUUUGGACAAUGGGGGCAACCCUGAUCCAGCCCAUGCCGCGUGAGUGAAGAAGGCC
rnacentral:rRNA from 1 species